rnacentral:lncRNA from 1 species
CUAACACGCUGGGCACUUCUUCCAACAGCCCUGUUUGCCCAGCAUUAGGGCUGUUUGUUGAAACACCUAGCCCAAUCCGAGGGGGCUCAGCUUUCUAAACAGUUGGUCCCCGAAUCUGUCAAUCAAUAACACCAAUUGGGUUCCUGAUACGAACAGCAAGUGUGGCCAAGUCCAAUAUUUGCCCAAACACUGCCUCCUCCCCCUGCACCUGACUGUCCCCCAGCUUGACUAAAAGGACGAUCACCAGGCGCAUGGGCUGCUGGGAAGAUACAAUGUUGGCAAACAGGGAGCUGGUUCCAGGAAAGAAGGGCACAUGAGCAAACAUGAUGGCCCCUUUAUGAGAGAUGGAAUAAAAAGGCCUACCUCAUUGGGCUCGUGUGGGUGAGGAGAACUGAAGAGUCUGAGAGCGCGGCACGAGCCAGAGGCUACGGAAAACACUGCCCUCCUACACUCCACCUUGGAGAGACCCAGAAAAGAACAAGCUUCAUUUGUAAAAAAGGAAAACAACUCAGGCAAUGGGGGUGGCUUAAAGGCACUCUACAGUGUGCAGAUGCCUUCCACUUCUUCCAUCUGCCCUGUCUCUCCAAGAACCCCUAUGGCCCCGGUCUCAGAACAGAGCUGAGUGCAGAAAUGAAAAUCUAUGGCUCUGUGUUCCAAAACGAUGAAGAAUUUCAAGAUGGUGGCAGUGGUAAAAUCUUUCUCCAGGAAAAAUCUGUCCUUGGCCCAAUGUGUAAACACUUGCUGAGGAACUUGGAAUAACUUGCAGUGUCUUGCAGUAUUGUGAAACCAGCAACUUGUUCACAAUUCUUCUGAAUUUCUUGGGAAAUUUGAAGUGGAGUACCUGUACCAACAUGAAAUGACACGAAUUUAAGUGACGCUCAACAACGAAAAGCAAAAAGAACCAAAGAGGAAGCAACUGAAACAACAUCUGGAUGUAUUUAAAAAUAUACAAUGCCUCCAAAAUCAGGUGUCAUUAAUGAAAAUUCUGAAGAAAUGCCACCGGACAUAGCCAACGCACCUACGCUGUUGUUAUUCAUUUCCUGCUUUUCACAGAAAACAAUUUUGUUGCAUGGAAGAUCGUGAACUUCAAAGGGCAGAGGGGAAACUGUCCCUUGGCCUCUACCCCUCCAAGGCCCCACUUUUUUGUCAACACUCCUUGGACGCAGCAGAAGUAUGAACAUAAUAUGGUCCUGAAUGAGGCUGAGUCUUUGGGCGCAGAAGACCCGGGUUAAUAAAAAUAGGAAGGUAAGAAAAGAAAAGAAAAAUCAAGACACAUCAUAGGACUAAAUUCCUAUUAUUUAUCCACUCAGGAUUGACCACCCCUUUGGGCCAGAUAGUUGUACCCCCAUGUACCAGGUGGGCACAUGAAGACACAAGAAGUGCUGUGAUGGUUCAUUUUGCACGUCACCUUGCGUGGAGUAUGCCAACUCAUUGUUUGGUCAAACACUAGUCUGGACAUGGUGGUAAAGGUAUUUUUUAGAUGAGAUUAACACUUAAAUCAGUAAAGCAGGUUACCCACCAUACUACGGGUGGGCCCUGUCCAAUCAGUUGAAGGCAUUAAGAACAAAGAUUGAGGUUUCCUAAAGAAGAUGGAAUUCUCCUUGAGACUACAACAUAGAAACCCUAUCUGAGUUUCCAGCCUGUUGCCCUGUGGAAUUCAAACUCAGGACUCCGGUCUAUGACAUUAACCCUCACUUAACUUUUCAGCCUGCCAGCCUGCCCUAUGGAUUUCGGACUUGCCAGCCACACAAUUCCUUAAAAUAAAUCUCUCCGUCUCUGUCUGUUUCUCUCUGUCUAUAUACACACCUGCAUGCAUAUAUACAUAUAUAUAUGUAUGCAUCUAUA